rnacentral:rRNA from 11 species
GGUCUCGAUCAUACCAUGUUGGAAACACGGGUUCUCGUCUGUUCACCGUAGAAAAGCAACGUUGGGCCCGGCUAGUAUCCUCUGCUACAGCGCCGGUCUCCAUUGCA